GGUGUUUCCUGCCGGCAGUGCUCCCUCACCCCAUCACUGCCAGCCCUUUCUGCUCCUUCCAUCCCUCUGUGACUCUCUUGCCUUCCAGAGGUGGAGGAACAGCAGCCCUGUGGAACAGAGAAGUGAAACAUCGCGCUCUCAGCAAGACGCAGAGCAAGCAAUAGACUUUUAUAAGG